rnacentral:rRNA from 1 species
GGUGUGACCCCCACAUCCACCCCCCUUCGGGCGGGAUCCGGAUGGAUCUGGUCUCCCCACUGCCCGCCAGUGGGUUGGCCGAAAUUCAGAGGUUUGAGCUUGGACCUGUAUGGCACCAGCAAGGUAGGUAGCUCGACUACUCCAGCUGAUGCUUUGGGAACUGGCCCGAGCCCGCAGGAAAACACACCAUCUU